rnacentral:tRNA from 1 species
GGAGAGGUGGCCGAGUGGCUGAAGGCGGCAGUUUGCUAAAUUGUUGAACUGGGAAACCGGUUCCGGGGGUUCGAAUCCCCCCCUCUCCGCCA